ACGGAAGGCAGCAGUGGGGAAUAUUGGGCAAUGGGCGAAAGCCUGACCCAGCAACGCCGCGUGAAGGAAGAAGGUUUUCGGAUUGUAAACUUCUUUUAUCAGGGACGAAGGAAGUGACGGUACCUGAUGAAUAAGCCACGGCUAACUACGUGCCAGCAGCCGCGGUAAUACGUAGGUGGCAAGCGUUAUCCGGAUUUACUGGGUGUAAAGGGCGCGUAGGCGGGGAUGCAAGUCAGAUGUGAAAUCCAUGGGCUUAACCCAUGAACUGCAUUUGAAACUGUAUCUCUUGAGUGUCGGAGAGGUAGACGGAAUUCCUAGUGUAGCGGUGAAAUGCGUAGAUAUACGGAGGAACACCAGUGGCGAAGGCGGCCUGCUGGACGACAACUGACGCUGAGGCGCGAAAGCGUGGGGAGCAAACAGGAUUAGAUACCCUGGUA
rnacentral:rRNA from 1 species